rnacentral:tmRNA from 1 species
GGGGACGACAUGGUUUCGACGGGAUAGGAGGUUGUUGGAUCAGCAGGCCGGGGAUGAACGUAGCCCCGUCAAUAAAUCGUUCAAACCACAAAUGCCGACAACGGCUAUGCUCUGGCUGCCUAACUUAAGUUAGAAGCCACGUCCGCCCGGACCUUUGCCCAUGGGGUUCGGUUCCGGACGUCAUAAUCAUGGGCUGGCCAGUCCGUUGCGCCCCGCGACGGACGGCGAGAACCAGGGGCUGGCCCCCCGCGGAUCUGUCGGUGGAUCCAACGGAGGGCGAGAUCUGAACGCCGACUAAGCCUGUAGCGGGUCCUUCGGUCACUAUUUCGGACGCGGGUUCGAUUCCCGCCGUCUCCACCA